rnacentral:rRNA from 1 species
AGCGAACGCUGGCGGCAGGCUUAACACAUGCAAGUCGAGCGGGCAUCUUCGGGUGUCAGCGGCGGACGGGUGAGUAACGCGUGGGAACGUGCCUUCUGGCCCGGAAUAACUCAGGGAAACUUGAGCUAAUACCGGAUACGCCCUUUUGCGGAAAGGUUUACUGCCGGAAGAUCGGCCCGCGUCUGAUUAGCUAGUUGGUGGGGUAACGGCCUACCAAGGCGACGAUCAGUAGCUGGGCUGAGAGGAUGAUCAGCCACACUGGGACUGAGACACGGCCCAGACUCCUACGGGAGGCAGCAGUGGGGAAUAUUGGACAAUGGGGGCAACCCUGAUCCAGCCAUGCCGCGUGAGUGAUGAAGGCCUUAGGGUUGUAAAGCUCUUUUAUCCGGGACGAUAAUGACGGUACCGGAGGAAUAAGCCCCGGCUAACUUCGUGCCAGCCGCCGCCGUAA